AUUGAACGCUGGCGGCAUGCUUUACACAUGCAAGUCGAACGGCAGCGGGGAGGAGCUUGCUUCCCUGCCGGCGCGUGGCGAACGGGUGAGUAAUACAUCGGAACGUGUCGAGAAGAGGGGGAUAACCACCCGAAAGGGUGGCUAAUACCGCAUAAAUUCUGAGGAGGAAAGCUGAGGACUUAGGAAUAGGCCUAGCGCUUUUUGAGCGUCCGAUGUCGGAUUAGCUAGUUGGUGAGGUAAAGGCUAACCAAGGCGAAGAUCUGUAGCGGGUCUGAGAGGAUGAUCCGCCACACUGGGACUGAGACACGGCCCAGACUCCUACGGGAGGCAGCAGUGGGGAAUUUUGGACAAUGGGGGCAACCCUGAUCCAGCCAUGCCGCGUGUAUGAAGAAGGCCUUAGGGUUGUAAAGUACUUUUGUUAGGGAAGAAAAGUCAGCUGUGAAUAAUGGCUGAUACUGACGGUACCUAAAGAAUAAGCACCGGCUAACUACGUG
rnacentral:rRNA from 1 species